rnacentral:rRNA from 1 species
UAUCUCUGUAGAGUCUGCAUAUCAAUAAGCGGAGGAAAAGAAACUAACAAGGAUUCCCUUAGUAACGGCGAGUGAAGCGGGAAGAGCUCAAAUUUGAAAUCUUCAAGGUUCUACCUUGACGAAUUGUAGUUUAAAGAAGUGUUUUCUGUUAGAUGAGUAGCAAAAGUUCCUUGGAAUGGGACAUCAUAGAGGGUGAGAAUCCCGUAUUUGGUUAUUCAUUCUAGCUUUGUGAUGCACUUUCAAAGAGUCGGAUUGUUUGGGAAUGCAGUCCAAAAUGGGUGGUAAAUUUCAUCUAAAGCUAAAUAUUGGCGAGAGACCGAUAGCGAACAAGUACCGUGAGGGGAAGAUGAAAAGAACUUUGAAAAGAGAGUUAAACAGUACGUGAAAUUGUCAAAAGGGAAGCGUUUGACACCAGUGUUGUUUUUCCGAAAAUCAAUUACGAAUGGCUUGAUUUUGUGUUGUAUUGACCUUAUCAGCUUUCUUCACUUUUUUCGAGUCUUUCUUAAUGCACUUUUCGGUUAACAAGUCAACAUCAAUUUCUUUUGUUGUAAAAGAGUAUUCGGAAGGUGGCUUUCUUUUCGGAGAAAGUGUUUAUAGCCCUAUACUUCUACAAUCGGAGAGAUUGAGGUCUGCAGCGUAGAUCCUUCGGGGUUAGAUACACUUGUGCUAAGUUGUAGCUUUUCAUAGACAACUUGUUGACUAUGUUUAGUCAUGCGGCUUACUCGCUUGUGCUAUUUUACCUACGCUUAGGAUGUUGACUGAUAUGUAGUCGUA